UCCACCAUGGCGCAAUUGGCGGCGCGCUCGGCUGUUAACCGAGAGGUUCGUGGUUCGAGCCCACGUGGUGGAG